CCUGACGUAGCCGUGACCCGCGCUCCGCCGGGGCAGGCCGCUCCGCCGCGCAUCUCGUCUGGAGCCUGGGGAGGUCCCCAAAGCCACCGGUUCCCCAGGGAAGAGGUGUCUCAUUUGGAAGCACGCCUGACGGCCAGUGUCCGAGCCACACAGAGGCCGAGAUUUUCCUUCCUCAUACAGUUAACUACGUUGUUUUCCUUGGGACGCCUACACCAUCUAUUCUGAAGCGCUGUUGAAUGAGAAACCCACGCGUACGGAGUUCAGAUGGCAGGCUUCCUGGAUAACUUCCGAUGGCCGGAGUGCGAGUGUAUUGACUGGAGUGAGCGCAGGAACACGGUAGCCUCCGUGGUUGCAGGAAUCUUGUUCUUUACAGGCUGGUGGAUAAUGAUCGAUGCGGCCG
rnacentral:lncRNA from 1 species